AGUGAACGCUGGCGGUAGGCCUAACACAUGCAAGUCGAACGGCAGCACAGUAAGAGCUUGCUCUUACGGGUGGCGAGUGGCGGACGGGUGAGGAAUACAUCGGAAUCUACUUUUUCGUGGGGGAUAACGUAGGGAAACUUCCGCUAAUACCGCAUACGACCUACGGGUGAAAGCAGGGGAUCUUCGGACCUUGCGCGAUUGAAUGAGCCGAUGUCGGAUUAGCUAGUUGGCGGGGUAAAGGCCCACCAAGGCGACGAUCCGUAGCUGGUCUGAGAGGAUGAUCAGCCACACUGGAACUGAGACACGGUCCAGACUCCUACGGGAGGCAGCAGUGGGGAAUAUUGGACAAUGGGCGCAAGCCUGAUCCAGACAUACCGCGUGGGUGAAGAAGGCCUUCGGGUUGUAAAGCCCUUUUGUUGGGAAAGAAAAGCAGCAGGUUAAUACCCCGCUGUUCUGACGGUACCCAAAGAAUAAGCACCGGCAAAUUUCGU
rnacentral:rRNA from 1 species